rnacentral:lncRNA from 1 species
AUGCCUCAGAAAAUUGAGGAAAUCAAGGGUUUUCUGCUUACAGCCUGGUGAAAGGAUGCCAAAUCUGUCAAGAUCAAGAAAAGUAAGGACAAUAUGAAGUUUAAAGUUCCAUGCAACAGAUUCCUUUAUACCCUGAUCAUCACUGACAAAGAGAAGGCAGAGAAACUGAACUAGUCCCUGCCCCCUGGUUUGGCAGUGAAGGAGCUGAAAUGA